CAUAUGGAUUCCUACGGGAGGCAGCAGUAGGGAAUCUUCCACAAUGGGCGAAAGCCUGAUGGAGCAACGCCGCGUGAGUGAAGAAGGAUUUCGGUUCGUAAAACUCUGUUGUAAGGGAAGAACAAGUACAGUAGUAACUGGCUGUACCUUGACGGUACCUUAUUAGAAAGCCACGGCUAACUACGUGCCAGCAGCCGCGGUAAUACGUAGGUGGCAAGCGUUGUCCGGAAUUAUUGGGCGUAAAGCGCGCGCAGGCGGUCCUUUAAGUCUGAUGUGAAAGCCCACGGCUCAACCGUGGAGGGUCAUUGGAAACUGGGGGACUUGAGUGCAGAAGAGGAAAGUGGAAUUCCAAGUGUAGCGGUGAAAUGCGUAGAGAUUUGGAGGAACAACAGUGGCGAAGGCGGCUCACUGGACCAUUACUGACACUGAGAUGCGAAAGCGUGGGGAGCAAACAGGAUUAGAUACCCUGGUAGUCCACGCCGUAAACGAUGGAUACUAGAUGUCGGUAGGUCUUACCCUAUCGGUAUCGUAGCUAAUGCGUUAAGUAUCCCGCCUGAGGAGUACGGUCGCAAGAUUAAAACUCAAAGAAAUUGACGGGGGCCCGCACAAGCAGUGGAGUAUGUGGUU
rnacentral:rRNA from 1 species